rnacentral:rRNA from 1 species
GGGCCCGCACAAGCGGUGGAGCAUGUGGUUUAAUUCGAUGCAACGCGAAGAACCUUACCAGGGCUUGACAUACUACAGAUUCUUUAGAGAUAGAGAAGUGCCUUCGGGAAUGUAGAUACAGGUGGUGCAUGGCUGUCGUCAGCUCGUGUCGUGAGAUGUUGGGUUAAGUCCCGCAACGAGCGCAACCCUUAUUUUUAGUUACCAAUUCGUUGGGUUCUCUAGAAAGACUGCCGGUGACAAACCGGAGGAAGGUGAGGAUGACGUCAAGUCAGCAUGCCCCUUAUGUCCUGGGCUACACACGUGCUACAAUGGUUAAGACAAAGAGUCGCGAGCUUGCAAAAGUCAGCUAAUCUCAUAAACUUAGCCUAAGUUCAGAUUGUAGGCUGCAACUCGCCUGCAUG